rnacentral:rRNA from 1 species
UACAGAGGUCCCAAGCGUUGUUCGGAUUCACUGGGCGUAAAGGGUGCGUAGGUGGUCGGGUAAGUCCGAUGUGAAAUCUCCAGGCUCAACCUGGAAACUGCAUUGGAUACUAUCCGGCUAGAGGGUCGGAGGGGAGACUGGAAUUCUCGGAGUAGCAGUGAAAUGCGUAGAUAUCGAGAGGAACACCAGUGGCGAAGGCGAGUCUCUGGACAGUUCCUGACACUGAGGCACGAAGGCCAGGGGAG